CCCUUCCCUUCUAAGCACCCUGCUCAAACUGCAGAAGCAAACAGCCUGCCAGGCUUAGCUUAUGUGGGUGAGUAAGUAUGGGUACACCAGGGAAGGAGACUAAAGGCACAGUGUCUGAAAUGAGGAUUGGAGGGACCUCUUUCUUAAUGUCCAAUGUCCUUUGUCUCAAGAGACUGCGUUACAUGA